CAGCAGCCGCGGUAAUACGUAGGGUGCGAGCGUUAAUCGGAAUUACUGGGCGUAAAGCGUGCGCAGGCGGUUGUGCAAGACAGAUGUGAAAUCCCCGGGCUCAACCUGGGAACUGCAUUUGUGACUGGCAAGCUAGAGUGUGGCAGAGGGGGGUGGAAUUCCGCGUGUAGCAGUGAAAUGCGUAGAUAUGCGGAGGAACACCGAUGGCGAAGGCAGCCCCCUGGGCCAACACUGACGCUCAUGCACGAAAGCGUGGGGAGCAAACAGGAUUAGAUACCCCAGUAGUCCCUGUCUCUUAUAC
rnacentral:rRNA from 1 species